rnacentral:rRNA from 1 species
UACGUAGGGGGCGAGCGUUGUCCGGAUUAUUGGGCGUAAGAGCGUGUAGGCGGCCAGGUAGGUCUGCUGUGAAACUCGAGGCUCAACCUCGAGACGUCGGCGGAAACCAUCUGGCUAGAGUCCGGAAGAGGAGAGUGGAAAUUCCUGGUGUAGCGGUGAAAUGCGCAGAUAUCAGGAAGAACACCCGUGGCUAAGGCGGCUCUCUAGUACGGUACUGACGCUGAGACGCGAAAGCGUGGGAGCGAACAGG